UACAGAGGUGGCAAGCGUUGUUCGGAAUUACUGGGCGUAAAGGGCGCGUAGGCGGCCAUCUAAGUCAGACGUGAAAUCCCCCGGCUUAACCUGGGAACUGCGUCUGAUACUGGACGGCUUGAGUAUGGGAGAGGGAUGUAGAAUUCCAGGUGUAGCAGUGAAAUGCGUAGAGAUCGGGAGGAACAUCAGUGGCGAAGGCGGCCCUCUGGACCAGUACUGACGCUGAGGCACGAAAGCGUGGGGAGCAAACAGG
rnacentral:rRNA from 1 species